rnacentral:rRNA from 1 species
GACGAACCACCCAAACGUUAUUCGGAAUCACUGGGCUUAAAGAGUGCGUAGGCGGCUAUGUAAGUAGGGUGUGAAAUCCCACAGCUCAACUGUGGAAUUGCGCUCCAAACUACUGUGCUCGAGGGACCUAGAGGUGAGCAGAACUGAUGGUGGAGCGGUGAAAUGCGUUGAUAUCAUCAGGAAUACCGGAGGCGAAGGCGGCUCACUGGGGGUCUUCUGACGCUGAGGAACGAAAGCCAGGGGAGCAAACGGG